rfam:Rattus norvegicus chromosome 7, whole genome shotgun sequence.
GGGGAUUUAGCUCAGCGGUAGAGCGCUUGCCUAGGGAGCGCAAGGCCCUGGGUUCAGUCCCCA